ensembl:lncRNA
AAGCUGGGAUAAAAGCCAGUCUAUAUAAUAGCAAAAGCUGAUAUUUUUUGUUGAUGUUAUUUUUACAGAGUCAACUACAAUAAUUUUUCUACAGUAUGAAUGGCCUAAUGAGAACAUGAAGCUGAGCAGGCAGAACCUGGAAAAUAGGUGUUUUAUCCAGUUCAUCACUACAAGUAAUCCCUUUAACAAGAAACUCCUCCCUAGACCUUGAAGAUCAGAUGUGAUUCAGUAAGGUAGAGUGGCAGGGUGCAGAGAAUCAAGCAGUCCAUCCUGAGAUCAUGCAAAGCCUUUGGAAACACAAUUCCAGUGAGUCCUGGCUAUAACACUUUUGAUGCCCACGUCACCAGCAGCAGUCCUACAAGCACCAACGGU